CAGCCGCCGCGGUAAUACGUAGGUGGCAAGCGUUGUCCGGAAUUAUUGGGCGUAAAGGGCUCGCAGGCGGUUUCUUAAGUCUGAUGUGAAAGCCCCCGGCUCAACCGGGGAGGGUCAUUGGAAACUGGGAAACUUGAAUGCAGAAGAGGAGAGUGGAAUUCCACGUGUAGCGGUGAAAUGCGUAGAGAUGUGGAGGAACGCCAGUGGCGAAGGCGACUCUCUGGUCUGUAACUGACGCUGAGGAGCGAAAGCGUGGGGAGCGAACAGGAUUAGAUACCCCAGUAGUCCCUGUCUCUUAUAC
rnacentral:rRNA from 1 species